GGUAUUGGCACCUUAGGUCACAUAUCAAAAGCCUAGAAAAGGAACGAGCUGCGAAGGAUCAGAUGCUGCAGCGGUGCGCGACACUGACCGGCGCGCCACUCCGGGCUCGGGCGUACAGCACGGUGCUAGGCGCUUGUGCUGUGCUCCAUCAGCGUGGGGGCUACCAAGGCCGCGGUGGUGGCCCUCGGCUCGGCUACGGUGGCGGCGGUCCCCCUCCUCGCCAGCAGCAUUAUCAGCAGCAAGGAGGCGGGUACGGAAACCGCGACGAUUUUUCGCGCCACCGCGGCGGCAGCGACCGUGGAUACGAGAACCGCAACCAGGGCUAUGAAAAUCACCAGCAGCGCUACAUCGAUCGCCCGCAAAGACGUGACAAUGAUCAGCAAGGCUACGGCAAUAGUCGAGAGAACUACGAUGAUCGUAGCCAGGGCUACGACGAUCGCCGGAAAGGGUUUAACAAUCGUCAACAGAGUUUUGGAAACCGCCAGCACGACGGUGACGAUCGCCAAUCGGCACCGCGGCGUGGCAAAGAGCAGUACCUCACGCAGGAUGCAGACAGGCUACUGAGAAUGAAACAUGAUUACAAGAAAGCAAAAGACACAAAGGAGCGCUUUGGGAUUGUAAAAGAGGCUCGGCGGCUUCUGCGUCGCACUCGCAUCGACCCCUCCACCCAAGACGAACGGUCUGUUGCCAUUGUGAUCAACUGCGCCGCCACCUUCUCUGUUCCAGCAAAGAUAGAGGCGGUGGAGCAGGCGUUUCAAUGGAUGCGGAGCAACAUCGGUGGCAUCUCACCUCAGAAUGUAGCCCUUUUCGCGAACGCGUUGGGUCUCAUCUCCCCGCCCGAGGCGAAGCAAGUGAUGGUCAGUGAGGUCAUGCCGGCUGUGCAGUCUGUGAUGCGCGAAAUGGCACCCGUGGAAGUAGUGAUGGUGCUGCAGGCACUUCAGCGCUUGGGAGUCGAGGAGAAUGAAAAACUGCAGGACGAUCUCCUCUCCCAUCUCGAGCCGUGUGUCUCCUCGAUGCCAGUUCAGCAGUUGUCCACACUGGCGUCUGUCCUCCAUCAUCACUCAAUGCAAACGCGAGACAAUGCGAAGUGGAAGCAGAUUGCACACGAGACGUUGGCACGCGCUCUUGCAGGGGUGGACGGGAUACACUCACGGGAGGCCAUCGUUCUUCUUUGCGCCGCACCGUUUUUGGACGCCUCCCAGAAGCAGAUUGGCCAACUUCUCGCUCGCGUGACAGAAACUGUACAGUUCCACACGGAUGAUCAGGUCGGAGAACUGAUGAGCGCAAUCCUCCACAUUAGACAACAGGUCAGUGAGCCGAGUGUCGAGUUGACAGCGGCCGUCGAGGAGCUUCACACGGCACUGAUGACACGUUUGGAGAAGGUGAGCGCUUUUGUGGGGCCUAAAAGUGCGACUCGCAUCUGGAACUACGCACACGCUUCCAACGUCGAGCUCCCCUCCGCGAUUCAAGAGACCAUGUGCGCUUCACUCAUACAGCUCAUGACAUUCCGCACCAUUCGAUUCCGAGCAUUGGCACGGCUGAUGGCAUCGCUAUCGACACAGAAGCUGCCCUCCGCUGAAAUUCUCACUGUCGUUGCAAACUGCAGUGUUGGAGUGCGGCCGCCUCGGUCUGCAAAGGCGAUUCUUCCUCAAGAGAGUGAUAUGCCGGGGGAUGGAGAGGAUCACGAGAGCAUUCGUGCCGCGGCGUUCGAGGCGCUGUACAGUCGUCACUUUGGUACUCUCACUGAGCUGCGUAUCAGCCUUGAAAACGCUUUUGCCAAGAAUGAUGUCCCUCCCAACGACGCUCUCGCCAAGACGCUGCCAGAGCAUCUUCUCAAACACGCUGCAGAAGCUUCGCCGCGACAAAUGCUGACGGCCGCUGUGGCCAUUGCGCUAGCGCCGGCCGAUUGCCCGUGUCGAAACAAGACUCACGAUGCGGCAGUGCGUGCCGCAGUACUCAAAGCGCUCGAAGACAACCCUGACAAGUUCAAGUCCGACUUGAGCCCUGAGCUCGUGGACUGGUUCGUGAGCAGUAUCCCCGCCGAUUCCGAGUCAGCAGAGAUAGUGGCGGCAGUGCAAAAGGCCGCUGCGCCGUGAUGUGCUCCCUUUACCCUUCUCUGCUCUCCAGGAUUAUAAAGGGAAAACGAAGGCUAGCAGGGCUUCUUUUUUUCUGCCUUUUCCGUCUUCCUGGUGCUGAUCUACAGAGAUUGUGCUGCGACAGUGCCGUGUGACCUGUGCCCAGCCACAGAUGAAAACACCGAUCGCGCCGCGCAAGUUUGCACCAGGAGAAGUUAUGACGGCACCGUCCAAGUGAACAGCUCAGACUCAGAAGAGGGCCGGCGGAUAUCUGCUCCAGAGCUGCAGUGGGGAGCGGAGAGGAGGUACAGAGUUCAGCAAGCCCUCGGCUGCUGCGGGGCUGGGCUUUGUCGACCUUUUUUUUUUUGAAAUCUUCUUCACAAUCAACAUUCUUGCUCACCUUCUCUUGAAACAUUUCCCUAUCUUCAUACGCCUUGCUUGGGGAGAGCAGAGACCCGGCUUGCAGAACUGGCGAUGCUUUUUUUCUUAUCCUCGGCGGCGACACUGGGGAGUAGGCAAAAAAAGGGGCGGUGAGCAAGCACACACAGGACUGAGCUCUGAUGAGUCUGGGGUGCAUGGUGUGUAGGGCGCCGGCUAAGAGGGAAGUGGAGCAACUGGGAUAUGGUGGCCCUGGACUUGCAUUUUUUUCUUUUUUCUUGGUUGCACUCAAGCGCUUUAUCGAGAAUCACUGCCGCAGCAGAGCUUCGGGUAUUCCAGUACGAUAAGCUGCACCAUCUCUCUCUUCGUUUGUGCUCCUUGCCGCAUCUUUUGGUGCGCGUGUAUUGUGUUUGUCGGUGACGGUCCGAUUAGUCGAGGUUUGUGGGGCUCGAGCGGCUGCGUCUUUGGAGUAGACUCGUCCGCGCCAUCGUAUCUUCUUCCUGUAAUGCUCAAACGGGAACUUAGCGAAAAGAACAAUAAACUAAGAGCUCUCCGGGUUCAUUGUUGCCAACAUGGCAUCUCCUCAUCUUUGUCGCCAACAUCAACCUUCCAACAAGUCCGUGUGUCUCGAUGCAUGGCAUGCAUGCGACGAACUUCUCGCGCGCUUAGCGUGGCCCAGAAUAGUCGUCAACUGAUGCCCUCUGCUCGCUGGACGGGUUGAUGCGGAGGAUGCCGUAAUCAGCAAUUUUUCUACUCCUUGGUAUCUCUUCCUUCUGCUUUCAUGGUAUUCAG
rnacentral:misc_RNA from 1 species